rnacentral:rRNA from 1 species
GAACGCUGGCGGCAGGCCUAACAAUGCAAGUCGAACGGUAACAUUUCUAGCUUGCUAGAAGAUGACGAGUGGCGGACGGGUGAGUAAUGCUUGGGGACUUGCCUUUGCGAGGGGGAUAACAGUUGGAAACGACUGCUAAUACCGCAUAAUGUCUUCGGACCAAACGGGGCUUCGGCUCCGGCGCAAAGAGAGGCCCAAGUGAGAUUAGCUAGUUGGUAAGGUAACGGCUUACCAAGGCGACGAUCUCUAGCUGUUCUGAGAGGAAGAUCAGCCACACUGGGACUGAGACACGGCCCAGACUCCUACGGGAGGCAGCAGUGGGGAAUAUUGCACAAUGGGGGGAACCCUGAUGCAGCCAUGCCGCGUGUGUGAAGAAGGCCUUCGGGUUGUAAAGCACUUUCAGUUGUGAGGAAAAGUUAGUAGUUAAUACCUGCUAGCCGUGACGUUAACAACAGAAGAAGCACCGGCUAACUCCGUGCCAGCAGCCGCGGUAAUACGGAGGGUGCGAGCGUNAAUCGGAAUUACUGGGCGUAUAGCGCACGCAGGCGGUUU